rnacentral:lncRNA from 7 species
AACAACCUGAGGCCCACCAUAUACUUUACAAAUAUAACAGAUUUUGUCUAAUACACGGGUCGUUCAUCCUUGCUUUGGUUUGAUGGCUCAGGGGUCAUGGGUGGUGAAUAUAUAGUUACAGAAACCUAUCUAGGCAUGCUCAGGGAUCAGACGAGGGGAUAGAUUCCCGCGGACUCAGUGUUCGAGUUGUUAUGAGGGAUACAACGAGUUCGUUAGGAUUCAACCGAAAAUCCCAUGGAUUUCGGUGCGGUUACAAUGCCAGACUGUUCUCGCUUGAUUCGGGAAGACGAAGCUACAACAUUGGGCCCAUCUAUCAUCCACGGAAGCUGAACGUGUAAGCGCAGCGCCGAUCGGCUACCCAAGUGGGCCCGCAUGUCGGAGCCAGAUUAGAUAGCUAGGUUGAGGUCAGGGAGUUCGGCCUAUGCGCAAGGGAGUUACCUAGGACAGAGAAGGAUUUGACCUAGGUGAUGCAUUUUUUCCAUUUUCUUUUUCAGGUUUCCUAUUUUAUUGUUUUAUAUUUUUUUCCUAUUUCGAA